rnacentral:rRNA from 1 species
AGCGAACGCUGGCGGCAGGCUUAACACAUGCAAGUCGAACGCCCCGCAAGGGGAGUGGCAGACGGGUGAGUAACACGUGGGAACGUACCUUUUGGUUCGGAACAACACAGGGAAACUUGUGCUAAUACCGGAUAAGCCCUUACGGGGAAAGAUUUAUCGCCAAAAGAUCGGCCCGCGUCUGAUUAGCUAGUUGGUGAGGUAAAGGCUCACCAAGGCGACGAUCAGCAGCUGGUCUGAGAGGAUGAUCAGCCACACUGGGACUGAGACACGGCCCAGACUCCUACGGGAGGCAGCAGUGGGGAAUAUUGGACAAUGGGCGCAAGCCUGAUCCAGCCAUGCCGCGUGAGUGAUGAAGGCCCUAGGGUUGUAAAGCUCUUUUGUGCGGGAAGAUAAUGACGGUACCGCAAGAAUAAGCCCCGGCUAACUUCGUG